UACGGAGGGAGCUAGCGUUGUUCGGAAUUACUGGGCGUAAAGCGCACGUAGGCGGCUUUGUAAGUCAGGCGUGAAAGCCCUGGGCUCAACCCGGGAAUUGCGCUUGAUACUGGUGCGCUUGAAUCCAGGAGAGGUGAGUGGAAUUCCCAGUGUAGAGGUGAAAUUCGUAGAUAUUGGGAAGAACACCGGUGGCGAAGGCGGCUCACUGGCUCGUAACUGACGCUCAGGCGCGACAGCGUGGGGAUCAAACAGG
rnacentral:rRNA from 1 species